AAAUGGGCCUUCAUUGUCCGCCUUGGAGAUACAGCCAUAGGAAACUAUGCAGGAAAAACCAACUGGGACUGCUCUGGGACAUUCGUGGCUGAUAACUACUCAAGAUGGUAACCAAGAGAGCUUGAAAGCAAAGACAUUCAGGCACUGGAGCAGGGAAAAAUCCAGAUGGCCAGAAGCAAGUAAGACUGUGGCCCUUCCAGGGGGAGAACCAGCAGCAGCUCCUGAGACCCGCGCCAUAUUGGAACUUUGGAUGCUGUGAAACCAAACAACCAGCCUGCCUCCCUGGGACAGUCUGACUUCUGGUGGAUACAAGAAAGGCGUUGUUGGGCUCCUCCUUUCCUUCUGUUUGUCCUCCUGGCUCUCCUCCCGUUCUUUCACUCCCAUGCCAUCCUCCUGUUUCUGCCUGUCCCACAAACAGAUAAUGUUAUUGAGUCUCCAAGGUCCUGUUCUUGGCAGGGUUCUUCGAAGGAUCGGGGGAGAGCAGGACAUAUGACAGUGUCUCCCAGCAGUGCCUGCGCUAGGCAGAGUCUCUGCCAGUUCUGCACUCGAUACUGUUAUUCUACUGAACACAGAGUCCUGGGAGCAAUCAGUGGCCUCCAACUGGCUCCAGCCAGGUUGCUUGUC
rnacentral:lncRNA from 1 species